AUUGUAUCAAAAACUGAUCUGCUUUGAAAUGUCUGCCAAAGACCCCUUCAAGAUAGGGGCUACAGCAGGGAUACAGAUAAGCUCUCUGUAGGUGCCACUCAUGCCCAUCUACCUCCAACUUGCUCAAGAAUUCAAAAGCACUUUUAGCACAGGAAGACACUGGACUGUCCCUUACUCAUCUGAGGACUGGGAGCAGAAGAGGGAUGCUGCCCAGCACAGGUACCCAUCCACUGCUGUUACAUUGGCCUGUGCACUGCUUACACUUCUGGUUUCUUCUGUUUUCUCUCUGGGGUACCAUUAAAUUUCCUGAGAACUCUCAAAGUUCAGCACAACAAAAAUCUUCAGUCUUUAACACAGUGUAUUGGGUUUGUGGUUUGUGCUAUUUUUUUGGGCUAAACAAAACAAGUUAUGCCAAAUAAAGCAACAAAAAAAACUUCAACCAUCCCUCCUUUGCCUAUUACCAGUGAAUCCUAGGUCCGUAAAUAAUUUAUAAAUAUCUGGUAUUCAGGAUUCUUUUGGCUGGCUUUCUCUUGAGUUUGUGUGAAGACUUUCCUCCACAGCAGGGAGCCCUGACCAUCUCAGUGCUGUAUUUCAGGGCAUGUAUGCAUACGUCCCAUUAUUUUGGGAACUACAGACAGAGCUACAGUGCUAUAGUUGGCCAAGAUUUCUCCAUAAAGGCUCUGGUAAGGUACAUGAGCCUACAUAGAGAUGCUGCCCUGCUCUCCACCUUAUGACUGAGUGAAUAAAGGAACCACUUUUUCCCCUAUAUUAAUACAACUAAUUUCAAAAUAAUAAUAUUUUUUCAUAAAAUUGUCUCCAUUACAGCAAUGUUGGAAGUGGUAGAGUGAGGCUGAACAUUAAAAAUUCUGUUUUAAUAUCUUUUAGUAAUAAAUGUUCACAAACAAGCACAAAUUAAGUUUGUUCUCUAUAUUUUAAAUUGAUUUUUCCUCUUCAGUUUAUAAGACAUGUCUCACUAUAUGAUUUUAAGCAGUUUCACAAAAUUGCUUCAAAAGAAAUGAUUCUGUAGAGUUUGCAUAUACUUGAUAUAUAUCUUUGAAAUUAUUUGUUCUUGUGCAUGUUUUUAGUUACAGAAUAAAGACUGCUUAAACUUUUAUUGAGACAAUUCAAGUAAUUUCUUUAUAACUAAAUGAAAAGCACAUCAUUAAAAGAAGAUUUAAAGGCAAGAAAAAAGCCUUUUAUGAGAGCACAACUCUUGAAUAAUUACUUCAGCUCUGGCAGUGAAUUCUUAGUUAUUUAAUGAAAUCUUAGUAUGCAGUACUUUAUCUCAAAUGUGUCACGCGUUUUCAGUGAGAGAAAAUGAGCUUUGGUCCUAAUGUAUACUCUGGGAGUGAAAAGCACAUGGCGAAUAUCAUAGCAGGUAAUUUUAAAUGUUAUUUAGUCAGGUAUCUUGGAGGUAUCUUGGGUGCCAAUAACAGCAAUUUUGUAUUCUCUGUCAGGCCAUGCAGGAAAAAAAUGCGUCAUUGUCCUUUCCUCCCUCACCCCCCAGUUACGGAUCGCUCAUGCUAAUAUGCAAACCGUGUCCCCAGGUCUCUCCCCAGCCUCCCUCACAGUGACUCAGCUGCAGCUCUCCACCCCACUGUGGUGUCCACCCGAGCCCUUCUGUGCCCGUUCCGUGCGAUGCUGGGGCCAGCGCGGGCAGCUGCUGCUCUGAGCUAAUGGAAGGAGACAGGAACAGCUGGCCAAGAUUUCUCCGGGUGGACCUCAGCGCUCUCCAAAGGUGUCUGUCCUGCACCUACAGGGACAUCAGCGGGCUAACGCUAACUGCAUGUGGCAGUGCCAGGUCUCAAGAGUUUGCAGAGACACAGCUUGACCUUAAUGUGCACCAAAAUUCUUUUAGCAUUAACAGAACCCUUUUUGGCAAGCACGUUGCUCUACAUAAGAAAAGAUCUGCACAUGGUCCUCCCAGUGCUUUGGCCUAAUAUUUCAAAUGUUGCAGAUUAUAACAUGCAGGAGCAAUACAAACAAAACGUUUUCUCAGUGAUGAAGAAACAUCAUUAGAAGCUAAUGAAAUGCUUUUCCAAACCAUUUAAAACCAUUUUGCCAAAUAGGUGAAGUGCAAACUAAGUUAACACAAAAGGGCUACAAAUACUGAUUUUUGAAAAUUAAUAAAAUAAAUAAAAUAAUAUUAACAUUACCUGAACAAAAUUAAAGGUGUAACCAAGAAAAGUAGAAGCAAAUUAUGUAUAUUUCUCAAAGAUUAUAUUUAUGUCUCUAAAUAAAGGAGGAAAUUGAAAAACCUAUCAUUUAUAUCGCAGCACAUUUAAAGUAAUAUUACAUAAGUAAUUCAAAUAAGUCCAAUUAAAAGCCAUAUAGCAUAGAAGAACUGUGCUCUCAUUAUAUGAAGUGCUUCCUAAUAAAUAAGUGAACCACUGAGCAAAUUCUUCUCAUUCAUAACCUGUACAGAAGAUGACAAGGGUAAUCAGUGGGACAAAAAAAUCUGUCAGUGUCCAAUAUGAAGUUCUUGUUUAGUUCCUAAUUAAACUUUAUCAGUUUUUGUCACUAUUCUUUUAUUUUUUUUAUGUUAAAGAUAUAUUUGAAUGGAAAGCCAUUUGCAAAUAUGAAAUAAUCUAAAAUUUGAUUAAAUACAUUUAUCAGGAUGUGAUUUUUGAAGACUUUACAGUUUAUUGAAUGGAUUUCAAGCUCUUUUUGGAGAAAAAAAAAAAGAAAAAGUUACUUUCUUUCUUUCUAGCACUACCAGUUACUUUUUUUACAAAUACACUUUCUGUACCUUAUUUUUUUCAUGAUGGAGCUGUUUUGACUGAUGUCACAGUUUUAAAAGUCAGUGAAAAAUCUGUUUCACUGAAGUGGAAGCCCUGAUCAGGCAUUGUUUUUUCUUCUUAAACCUGAAACAAGUAUAAAAGCAUGUCUCUUAGAACAUUUAGAUCAUUUUUUUCCCUGCACAUGAACAAAGAAUUCAGGAGUGGAGGAAAAAGACAAGGCUUUCUCUGUGACAGGAGACAAAGGCAGGGAAAAAAAAAA